CUUGACCGAACCCAGCCACAGCGGCUUGUCCUCCGGCCGCCCCUGCCCGUAGGUGGCGAUGAUGGCCUGCGCCUC
rnacentral:antisense_RNA from 1 species